GAUAUGUAUAAAUAUUUAUAUUUAAUAUGACAGGCAUCAUACUGUUGGACUUUGACUUCGAAAAUUUUUCAUAUGGCGACUCCACGGAUUUUAGAACCACGGUAUGCGAUAAAAAGUCUAAAGCCUAGUGAUCAUUGUUUUCAUUAACCCUUACAUAAUACAUUGAGUGCUAGUGAUCCGAGUCCGGUUUUCUUCGUAGGCGCUUUUUGCUACAUUCGCCACCCAUAGGUAUUAUCGGCUCAGCUGGUAUCGCAUAACCAGUGAUCGGGGAUUUGGAUGCCACUCGGGGUGAAUGACCCCAAUCAUUAUGCUAGUAUGGAUAUGCCGCGAGAUUCCAGGGUUAAUGUGGUUAGAUAAAGGACAGUUUAUUAUCAUAAUAUUAGCUUUACAUUACAUAUAUUGAUUGUCAAUAUAGGUAUUGCUAUCAUGGGUCAAUGUUUUAAAUGAGACAUGAAAUCAUUAAUGUUAUUAGGUUAUUACUGCUGAAUUAUUUUUUCCUAAUUAAUUUAGCAUAUGCCUCACAAUAAAAUAUGUGAUUUGUAUAACAAUUCACAUUAUUAUCAUCCAAAAAUACUAGGUAAAUGGCAACAUAUUAUUUAAAAUUCAUCAUCAAACCUACUUCACUUAAAUGGUACUUUCUGUAAGGAAAUCCAGUUGUAACUUAAGUAAACACCGAUCAUAUUUUGUCUACUGUGACAUAAAAAAAUCACGUUAUCACGGGCCAGACGGCGUAUCCAUAUUAACGUUUCUACUUGACAUCCCGCAGUGUGGCAUCCAAAUCCCCGAUCACUGCGCAUAACACACGUAAGCGAGAAUUUAAUACCUUUUCUACAUUUGAUAAACCUAAAUACGUAGUUAGACGUUUCAUUACUGUUAUUGCAGUUAGAUUUAAAAUUAAUUGUAACACAUGUUGCACGACGCUCGGUCAACAGAACCGUUAAACAAAAUUAGUUUUACAAGGCCUUUUUCACGUUUCAGUUAGAACGUGCUACCUAGUGCAUUUUUAAAAUUGUCAUUUGCGGCUCGACGUUCUAGAUCGCGAGGCCAUUUGCGAUCGUCAGCAUACUCUCCUCAUAUCACGAAUUUCCACUAGGUUCUUUUUUUAUAUUUUCCAUACUUCUGUAGCAAAGAAUACCUACACUGCCCGUGACCUAUGGAGGUCCGCAACUCCUCUGUACGUGGAUAAGUUACAUAUCGAUCACGCUCAUGUCUUGUUCUUCCGUAUUGGUGCAACAAAGCCUUUCGUUCGCCUCAGAGCGAUUAUGACUUGCUAGGCCGACAAAUGUGUUACACGCAGGUCGCGGCCUAAGGCAGCGUUCCCACUUAAGCGUCGCGUGUCUCGUGGCGCGCAACGGACGUCUCCGCUCCGCCACGCCGCCUGAAUGUAAUUCAAAAAACGUCUCCUCAGUACAUUUUGUAUAGGAAGGACGUAAGACGCGCCCCAGGUGGCGUAGACACGCGACGCUUAAGUGGGAACGCUGCCUAAGACACUGGGCAUUAUUCUAACUUAAGUAUGGGGGUACGUCAAACGAUCAAUAGCAAUGUUUUGGCAAUUUUUUAUACUUUAUUUUUGUAUAAAAUAAGUAUACAUUUAUAAAAUUACAGUGAAUAAACUAACAACAUACGUAAUAAUGUUUACUUACUUCUUCAUGUAAUUAAUAAGAUAGACAAUAAUAUCUGGUGUGUCAAAUAUCUCUCAUCUAUUACUAUUUCUAUGAUCACAUUAAAAACUUGACACCUACUAGGAGGUACUAUCUAGUAGGUAUCUAGUACAAUCAAUAAGCUUUUAAAUUUUGUUACGAGACUUAAAUUUACGAAGAACAACAUUGAUCUGUUUCUAUUACCAUCUAUCUUAUUUUAUUAUAUGAAAUACCUAAUCAUAAUGUUAUAUCUACAAAUAACGUAAAGAAUAUUUUACUCUACAUAUCAAGACCACAACUCUCUAUUCCAAUGAAAAUAAAAAUCUAAUUUAUUUUACUAACAAAAAAUCAAUUAACAUGUGUGUUCUUCUUAAUGUAACAUGAGAAGGUACUCUAUUAUGAAAUUGUUUAAUUAUAAUCAAUAUCUGACAAUUAUAAUGGCACUUUUAAAUCAUUACUGUAAUUAAAUAAACAAAGUAACAUUACGUCUAAUUUCUCUAAUAUAACACAUAGGUACAUAUAAAGUGUGUAAAUAUUAGAAAAUAUGUAUAACUACAAGAGGAAAGUAACAGUCGUAAUAAAUGGUUGAAUUACCUAGUUUAUUAAAAAAAAAAUACGCGUUCAUAUUUGGCGGAAAACUGCACGAA
rnacentral:lncRNA from 1 species